ACACCUCAACUCUCAUGGUUUGCCAUGAUGAGCUUGGACUUUGGAGGUCUUGCUGGCCUGUGGCCGGCUCCUCUCAAAUGGAUCAGCUUGCCAGUGUUUGGUGGCAUCAUGGGUGUGAUAACUAUCUACGCCUGUGGUUUUCUACCAGAUAACCUUCAGUGAUGGAGGUACGCUGGAGCUCAUAAAUGUCUCUCCUCAGUGAAGACAGCUUUUUGAAC
rnacentral:misc_RNA from 2 species